CUGAACUCUGAAUCAAUUCUACACUCACAAGAUACAGGACCAAAUCAUGAUGUAUCAUAAGACAACAAAUAAGGUAGUUGUAUGCUACUUAUGCUGAACCUUCUUUGUUUGACUCUUCUACCUCUGGCUUAGCAGGGGCCACAGGUGAUGGAGAGCUCUCCACUCCCAUCUCUGCUCUUAGGUCAUUGAUGCUUUGCUCCAACUCAUUUAUACGGCCUCCCAUAUCGAUAUUCUUUGAAAUGAUGGAGUUGGACAUUGUCUGGAACCUAGUUUGCUGGAAACAAAAUUCUUGUUAGCAGCAGUUAAUUACAUAUUCAAAAUAAGUAAUGCAGCUCAAUGAACAUAUACAACUCACCAUCUGCUGAAGAAGAUUUUGCAC